AGAGUUUGAUCUGGCUCAGGACGAACGCUGGCGGCGUGCUUAACACAUGCAAGUCGAACGAUGACGGUGGUGCUUGCACCGCCUGAUUAGUGGCGAACGGGUGAGUAACACGUGAGUAACCUGCCCUCCACUUCGGGAUAACCUCGGGAAAUCGUGGCUAAUACCGGAUAUGAGCACUCAUCGCAUGGUGGGUGGUGGAAAGAUUUAUCGGUGGGGGAUGGACUCGCGGCCUAUCAGUUUGUUGGUGAGGUGAUGGCUCACCAAGACGAUGACGGGUAGCCGGCCUGAGAGGGCGACCGGCCACACUGGGACUGAGACACGGCCCAGACUCCUACGGGAGGCAGCAGUGGGGAAUAUUGCACAAUGGGCGAAAGCCUGAUGCAGCGACGCCGCGUGAGGGAUGACGGCCUUCGGGUUGUAAACCGCUUUCAGUAGGGAAGAAGCGAAAGUGACGGUACCUGCAGAAGAAGCGCCGGCUAACUACGUGCCAGCAGCCGCGGUAAUACGUAGGGCGCAAGCGUUGUCCGGAAUUAUUGGGCGUAAAGAGCUUGUAGGUGGCUUGUCGCGUCUGCCGUGAAAACCCGAGGCUCAACCUCGGGCGUGCGGUGGGUACGGGCAGGCUAGAGUGUGGUAGGGGAGACUGGAACUCCUGGUGUAGCGGUGAAAUGCGCAGAUAUCAGGAAGAACACCGAUGGCGAAGGCAGGUCUCUGGGCCAUUACUGACACUGAGAAGCGAAAGCAUGGGUAGCGAACAGGAUUAGAUACCCUGGUAGUCCAUGCCGUAAACGUUGGGCACUAGGUGUGGGGGACAUUCCACGUUUUCCGCGCCGUAGCUAACGCAUUAAGUGCCCCGCCUGGGGAGUACGGCCGCAAGGCUAAAACUCAAAGGAAUUGACGGGGGCCCGCACAAGCGGCGGAGCAUGCUGAUUAAUUCGAUGCAACGCGAAGAACCUUACCAAGGCUUGACAUGCACUGGACGGCUGCAGAGAUGUGGCUUUCUUUGGACUGGUGCACAGGUGGUGCAUGGUUGUCGUCAGCUCGUGUCGUGAGAUGUUGGGUUAAGUCCCGCAACGAGCGCAACCCUCGUUCUAUGUUGCCAGCACGUAAUGGUGGGGACUCAUAGGAGACUGCCGGGGUCAA
rnacentral:rRNA from 1 species